UCCUGCUCUGCUUGAGCAUGAGCAUAUUGUCUCCCCCCCCCCCUCACGUUGUUGCACAUGAAUUUCUUUACCACCAUCACAUCCCAGAGCACCGAGGACACCCUGUAACUCAAACUUUACAUCGCUCUGCACUCUGCAAUGACAGCUUUAUCUUACAACUUUGGUUUGUCUUUUAAAAGUAUAUAAAAAGUACAUUAUUUAUGUUAUGUAUAAUAUGUAAUGCAAAUGUUUUGACCCAUGCAUUCAAGAUAUUUAGGGAAUAUUGAGAGGGGAAUACACAUGGAGUUCCCAUAAAGGUUAAAAGAUGCACAUAAAGAAAAAAAAUCACAUUAAAAGUCAGUAGGCACACCGCUAAUGUGUGUCCCUGGGACAUCUGGCAACAAAAUGUGUGAAUUCAACUGACUGAAGUGUUUUUAAUAGGCUUGAAAAUCAGGCUGUAAAUCAAACUCAAAGACCCGUGGUGAUAUAUCUGCAGAGAUGAUAGGUUUACACUUUGCUUGACAGAAGCCUAACUAUAUUUUCAUCCUCCGUCCCCUGGGACACAACUCUCCUCCUCAUUACUUUUACAACGGAGAUUCAUCAUUUCCACCAGCCUUUCCUCCCCUGGACUCCCGCUCUGCACUCUGGCUCCUCUCUUCUCCCUUCAUCCUCCCUGUUGUCAUGUUCGUCGUUCAUCAGCUCAACUCCUUCCUGGUCCCAACUUUUCCCUGCAGCUGUCUGCGUCUCCUGUGCUGAAGCCAGAUCUGAUACAGCUUCAAAGAGAAAAUCCAUAAUGAAAAAAGGCUCUCUGGACGUCUUGUACGGUCUUGACUUGUGAACAGGGAACAGCUUACUCCACAAAUGUGACCACAGACAACGUGCACCGAGCUUUCCAUCCUCUAAGACAAACCUUUAAGAGGAAGUCUGGCCACCGUGGGUCACCCUGUUGCUUCCCACAGGACUGCACCACACACAGCGCUCUCCAGCUUGCAGGUGGUUAUUUGGGAUCUCAGAUCUUGCAGAGAGGUGAAGGCAGAGAGGAAGCAGAGAGCAGGAACUCCUUUCUAAAAGGACAUCUCCCCCUAGUGGGCAAGACUUGUCAGUGCAGUUAUGUGUGAGGCCUCUGUAAUUUGGAUAAUCAAAAUGGCAUUAACACAGUUAACAUAAGUUUUUUUGUCUCGCAAGGACUUGGAUAACAGCUCUGCAUUUAGGAGAUACUUCUGUAUGUUUUGGAAAUAAAAAACAGUUUGUGACUGUUCGUUUUUGCAUGUAUGUGUGUGCAGCAAACCUGAGCCAUGUUUGGAACAACAGUGAUCAUAUCAACUGUACGUGUGUGUCUGUCUUCAUUAGGUUCAUGAAUUUACUGCAGUGUGUUAUUGCUGUUGGAGCCUCAAGCACAAGGUACUCACUUCUCUGUCCCAUGCUGUAGGACAAAACUAAUACUUUUUUCUUCUCAGUUUCGAGGCAUAACUGAACAUAUACAGACUCUAGUGUGUAGCAGGUCUUUUUUUUCCCCCAGAAAACUUUGACUUAGACGGGGCAAUUGUGACAGGACACAUAGCUGUAAGAACACAGAAAGCAGCUCACCUUGACGACAAAUUCCUGGAAUCUGAUUUCAUCCCAUUCUUAAAAAUAUAAUUAUUAAUUUAGACCCAUUACAUUUUUAGAUAUUUGAUUUAUUUUGGGGACAGUAUGGAUUUUU